UACGGGGGGGAGCAAGCGUUGUUCGGAAUUACUGGGCGUAAAGGGCGCGUAGGCGCCUUCUAAGUCGAACGUGAAAUCCCCGGGCUCAACCCGGGAACUGCGUCCGAGACUGGAAGGCUUGAAUCCGGGAGAGGGAUGUGGAAUUCCAGGUGUAGCGGUGAAAUGCGUAGAUAUCUGGAGGAACAUCGGUGGCGAAGGCGGCAUCCUGGACCGGUAUUGACGCUGAGGCGCGAAAGCCAGGGGAGCAAACGGG
rnacentral:rRNA from 1 species